rnacentral:snRNA from 1 species
AGGUGACAUUGUUGUGACUUCUAUCGCCUCAUUGAUCCAGGUCUGAGCUGAAGAUCAGGUUGGCUAAGGUAGAGGUCCCAUCUUUACUCAAUUUCCUGCACACAUUCCUUCCCAAAGAUGAGAACUUAGACAAGAGAGAACGACAAUCCCAGCAUGCGGAGGGUCAGUGCUACAGCAGGGGAUACAUGAAUAGCUGCCUUUCUCUGACAGACCACCAAGCAUGUAGACAUGGAAAGGAAUGAGAAGGGAAACAAAAGGUUGAUUCUUGAGUUU